rnacentral:rRNA from 1 species
UGAACGCUAGCGGCAGGCUUAACACAUGCAAGGUCGAGGGGUAUGCCGAUUUAUCGGCAGAGACCGGCGCACGGGUGCGUAACGCGUAUGCAAUCUACCUUUCACAGAGGGAUAGCCCAGAGAAAUUUGGAUUAAUACCUCAUAGUAUAGCAGUUUCGCAUGAAACCACUAUUAAAGUUCCAACGGUGAAAGAUGAGCAUGCGUCCCAUUAGCUAGAUGGUAAGGUAACGGCUUACCAUGGCUACGAUGGGUAGGGGUCCUGAGAGGGAGAUCCCCCACACUGGUACUGAGACACGGACCAGACUCCUACGGGAGGCAGCAGUGAGGAAUAUUGGACAAUGGGCGCAAGCCUGAUCCAGCCAUGCCGCGUGCAGGAAGACGGUCCUAUGGAUUGUAAACUGCUUUUGUACAGGAAGAAACACUACUUCGUGAAGUAGCUUGACGGUACUGUAAGAAUAAGGAUCGGCUAACUCCGUG